rnacentral:rRNA from 1 species
GACGAACGCUGGCGGCGUGCUUAACACAUGCAAGUCGAACGGAAAGGCCCUGCUUUUGUGGGGUGCUCGAGUGGCGAACGGGUGAGUAACACACGAGUAACCCGCCCUUGACUUUGUGAUAAAUUCAGGAAACUGCGGCUAAUACCGGAGAGAAGCUCCUGCUGCAUGGUGGGGGUAGGAAAGUGUCGGCGGUUGGGGCUGGACUCGCGGCUUAUCAGCUAGUUAGUGGGGUAGUGACUUACCAAGGCUUUGACGGGUAGCCGGCCUGAGAGGGUGACCGGCCACAUUGGUACUGCGAGACGGCGCAGACUCCUACGUGCGGCAGCAGUGGAGAGUCUUGCAGAACGAGCGGAAGCCUGAUGCAGAAACGCUGCGUGCGGGAUGACGUGCUUUGGGUUGUGAACCGCUGUCGCCUGUGACGAAGCGUGAGUGACGGUAACGGGUAAAGAAGCACCGGCUAACUACGUG